CACAUCUUCUCCCUCAAGACUGAAAGCAACCGAAGCAGCCCAAGUGCAGGGGCGGCAUCCCCUUUUCCUGUGUACCCUCAGAGUUUGGUGCAGUGUCUGCAACAGAGGAGCCAUUCACUAAGUGCUUGUGGAAGGACUGAAGUCCCUACUUUCCUGGCCACUGCUCAGCACGAUGGCAGCUUGACUUGGGCUCCUGAUCCACUUGCUGUCAGUCUACGGAGGCGAGGCCAUCGAUUAUUUGUCAUACCUGUCUAUGCGGCAAAGCGCCCUGGAUCUUCACUUGGUUGUCCUCAUUCAGGCAUCACUGCAAACAUCUUUUAGGCACUUACUACGUGUCAGGCAUUGGGCGGUGAACAAAACCUGCUUCCCGUUCUCAAGAACCUCAACGGGGACACUGAAGAGCUGGACAGUUUCCCUCUUCCAUUUGACAUCUUAGAUCUGGCAGAAUAGAGACUUGAGGUUACAGUGCUGGGCACAUAGCAGGCUUCUUAAAGAUUCGCUGACAACCAACUAGUGCGUGAGGAUAAAAAGAGGAUUCCGUGUCCUUUGCCUCCUAUCUACCGUGGAGGCUGUGUGAAAUGAAGUGCUAACAUGAGGGCACUGGAGAAACUUCCAGGGAAACAUCCAAGUUAAAGAAUACCCACCUUUUGACAUUGCUAUCAAUAGAUACCUGGAUGAGAAGAAUUCAACAAAAAAAAUUUAGCCAAGAUUCUGGUGCUUGGGGUGCACAGGUAAGAUAAACAGCAAUCUGUUUUUCUUCUUCAGGGUGUUACAUACCAUGUCAGAACUUGAGAAAAUAGAUUUUAAUUAGUUAAACAGCAGAAUUAGGUUAAGGA